UGUUUACUACUUUUGCAGUUGCUGAUAAUGCAGAUUCUGACAGCUCAGACUCAGUUUGAGGGAGAGCCUCCUCCUCUCCCUGGCUGCCACCACAGCCUUCUGAAGAAGUGUGCAAAGGGACCUCAUGCUCCAAGCAUGGACAAGUCACGCUCAGUCUCAAGACAUAUGCUAACUCUUCUGAGCCCCCGAAUACCGUGCCCCUGGGAAAAGCUGAAGAACUACAAGUCCCCUGGUACUGCACUGUGCCCACCAAAGACCCAAGAGGGCAGAGGGAUGCUGGGAAUUUAACCAAGUCAUCUGACUCAGACACUGUAAAACAUGGGGCAGAGCUUUCUGUGUAGUGAAGAGUUAGGCAGCUGAAAUUCAAUCUCUGUGAAGUGAUAAGCCUUAAUUUCUGAGAACUCCAUUACUAAGAUCUUUAACUCAA
rnacentral:lncRNA from 1 species